rnacentral:rRNA from 1 species
GAUGAACGCUAGCGGCAGGCUUAACACAUGCAAGUCGAGGGGCAGUACGUCUUCGGAUGGUGGCGACCGGCGCACGGGUGCGUAACGCGUAUACAACCUACCUUAUAGAGGGGAAUAGCCCAGAGGAAUCUGGAUUAAUGCCCCAUAGUAUUAUUGAAUAGCAUUAUUUAAUGAUUAAACAUUUAUGGCUAUAAGAUGGGUAUGCGUUCUAUUAGCUAGAUGGUAAGGUAACGGCUUACCAUGGCGACGAUAGAUAGGGGUCCUGAGAGGGAGAUCCCCCACACUGGUACUGAGACACGGACCAGACUCCUACGGGAGGCAGCAGUGAGGAAUAUUGGACAAUGGGCGAGAGCCUGAUCCAGCCAUGCCGCGUGCAGGAAGACGGCCCUAUGGGUUGUAAACUGCUUUUAUACGGGAAGAAACACUCCUUCGUGAAGGAGCUUGACGGUACCGUAAGAAUAAGGAUCGGCUAACUCCGUGCCAGCAGCCGCGGU